rnacentral:lncRNA from 1 species
ACCCAAAUCCUUUAUUUUACUUUGUUCAAGCCCAAACCAUUUAGAAAAUCCUUUUAUUUAUUUAUUACCUUUUUGUGUUUAGGCGAAGUUGCUAGUGAGGAAAAUUUUAAUCCUUAUCCACACAACUCUACUGCUAAGGAGUAUCUGUGAGUCGACCCCUUCUAAAAUGACAUGAUUUUAUAGUUCAAUUGCAUAAAUUAAAUGCAUGCCUUACGAGUUUAUGAACUGAUUUUUAUGUUAACCAUGUUUAUUGAAUAUGUUGAUUUUCGUCUCGUGUUUUUGGUGAGAAAUUAAUUGUUGGCCUAUAUUGAGCUAUAUUUUAAUAUAUAGUAUUUUCUAUAAAAACCUCGAACUGGUAGACUAUCUGAUGGAUGACGAUAGGAUGCUAGAACAUGUUUUAGAAACCCCUUUUUAUAGUAUAGACGAUGGAUGACUUUAUACUAUAAAGUGGUUAUUUAUGAGAGGCGUAACUAUUUGUGCAUACCUAGUGGACAUUAUGCCGCCUGGGGUGAGG